rnacentral:rRNA from 1 species
GACGAACGCUGGCGGCGUGCUUAACACAUGCAAGUCGAGCGAGGCCCCUCCUUCGGGAGGGUGUCCUAGCGGCGAACGGGUGAGUAACACGUGGGCAACCUGCCCUCAGCUCUGGGAUAACUCCGGGAAACCGGGGCUAAUACCGGAUACGACCUCCACGGGCAUCUGCGGAGGUGGAAAGUUUUUCGGCUGAGGAUGGGCCCGCGGCCUAUCAGCUAGUUGGUGGGGUAGUGGCCCACCAAGGCGACGACGGGUAGCCGGCCUGAGAGGGCGACUGGCCACACUGGGACUGAGACACGGCCCAGACUCCUACGGGAGGCAGCAGUGGGGAAUAUUGCGCAAUGGGCGAAAGCCUGACGCAGCGACGCCGCGUGAGGGACGAAGGCCUUCGGGUUGUAAACCUCUUUCAGCAGGGACGAAGCGAAAGUGACGGUACCUGCAGAAGAAGCACCGGCCAACUACGUG